rnacentral:lncRNA from 1 species
CAGCUUUAUUCUGGGGGAAGAGGAGGUAGUGGUUUUUAUCACACAGUUUCCGAACUGGAUAAAUCACCCAAUCUAUAAGCCAUAACAAAUCCUUCUUCUGUUCCAGCUUUUUCUGAAGUUAUUUUUCCUCCAGAGAGGGAGAAUUGUAGCCCCAAACUUGAUUCAGAAAGGUCCAGGAUAUUCAAGCCUUCAAAGGUCAUUCAGACACAAACUAAGACAGACCAUCUCGCAAGCAUAUGGGGAUUGAGUUCAAAAUCAAAUCUAGGGUUUGGUGGAUCUUGGGAAGAGUACAGCUGUGGCAAUUUCAGUUCGAUGAAGCCAGAGGACCCUACACUGUUAAUGAAAUAUUACUCCUUUUCUUGGCAUCUCUCCGGUCAUUUUCAUCGUGACUUGUACUCAAAGCAGGGAUGUCUCUGUGCCUGGAUGGGACUGGACAUUCAAGAACUGAUCUCUGAGCAUCAUUCAGGAGCACCGAUUUCAAGAAAAGCCACCAUCGGUG